UUUGUUUCUGGUCCAUCCUUAUGGGGUCCUGGGAUUUCUAUCUCACAUAAACUGAUUUCAUGGUUAACCUCACACAUGCACACACACUUUUCUUGUUUAUCCUUAUAGGGCCCUCUCGUCUCAUUCACACUUUGAGUGACUUCACAUCAUUUGUACAACACAUUUCAGCAUCUAACCUCAGGUGGUCAACAAUCAGGCUCCUGCUGUCGCAGUGGACAACUCUUCAGAUAUGACUUCCUUGGCGAAUGUCUCUCAAAUGCAGCUACAGACCAGAGAAACCCACUGCUGUAAAAAGAAACUGGAGACCACAGGAGUGUGCAGCUGUUGAACGACAUUCAAGGAGAUUUAUUGUACUUAACAAAGUUCCUGGGAAAAUGGACUGUCAGCGCUGCAUUUCAGCCGAGCCUCAAGCCCUGAGUGACAGAGACUGGAGAGCAGUCAAGUAUUUCAUUAAAAAUAGAAUAACAUCUCUGAAAACAAAAUGUUGUAAAAAGUGAAAAGUAGACUAAUGUUGAUAUUUUCUUUGAGGAAAUCCUAUUAAAGUUGUGGGUGGCACUUUAUAAUAAGAACACACUAUUUAACAUUAUUAAAGCAUGAAUACACAUUGAGUUCAUCAUUUAUAAAGCAUUAUUCAAACAUGAAUCCUCAUUAGUAACUCGGUAUGCAAUUCAUUCAUUCACAGUUAUAAAUGUUUAAUUCUUGAUUAAUAAGAGUAGGGUUUCACACUUUAUAAAUGAUGGAUUUGUCAUUUGUAAAUGAAGUAUUAAGGACUUAUAGAUGAUUACGAAAUAAUUUGUAAAGUGUUAGUAAAUUAUUUUAAAAAGCAGCAAUUCAUGAUUAAUUCAGGUAGUUACUACUCAUUAGUUAAGUAUUAGUUAAGCAUGUUCUGUGGACUAAUUUAAAGUGAAGACUAUUUAUGCUUUACAAAGCACUUAUAAGCAGUCUCAAAGCUAGCAUAAGUCUCAGUUAUCUUCUUAACAGAAAAAGGAAAUAGACACAAGACAAAUAUGUGAAUAUGCAUUCACAUAUUUACGUAAAUAUGAUGGUGCUGGGAUGCCAUGCCCG